UACAGAGGUCUCAAGCGUUUGUUCGGAUUCAUUGGGCGUAAAGGGUGCGUAGGUGGCGCCGUAAGUCAGGUGUGAAAUUUCGGAGCUUAACUCCGAAACUGCAUUUGAUACUGCGGUGCUUGAGGACUGGAGAGGAGACUGGAAUUCACGGUGUAGCAGUGAAAUGCGUAGGUAUACUAGGAGGGAACACCGGUGGCGAAGGCGGGUCUCUGGGCCGAUACUGACGCUGGAGGAGCGAAAGCGUGGGAGCGAACAGG
rnacentral:rRNA from 1 species